rnacentral:rRNA from 1 species
UACAGAGGGUGCAAGCGUUGUUCGGAAUUAUUGGGCGUAAAGGGCGCGUAGGCGGUGCGGUAAGUCUGCAGUGAAAUCUCUGGGCUCAACUCAGAGUCUGCUGUGGAAACUGCCGUGCUUGAGUGUGGGAGAGGUGAGUGGAAUUCCUGGUGUAGCGGUGAAAUGCGUAGAUAUCAGGAGGAACACCUGUGGCGAAAGCGGCGCACUGGACCACAACUGACGCUGAGGCGCGAAAGCUAGGGGAGCAAACAGG